GGGGCUGCCGACAUAAAGAACAAGCUGCAGAGGAAGUGGAGGCACUCUUAAUGGACUCUUCCAAGGGAAGUCUCCUACCUCAUUGAUUCUUCUUUAGCCCCAAACAUCCCCAUGUGAAUAAGCCCAUAAAAGGAGCCCUGAGUCCUUCAACUCCAACCUUUCAUCACUGUACCAGAUGGGACCGUUUAGUUGCAGGACAACAAGCUCAGCGACCACACUGAUUCUACAUUAUGGACUUUAUGUGCAUGAUGCUACGGAAUUCCUAGGACAGCCCUCUGAGGUUGACACUACUUUAUCCCCAUUUUAUGACUGAAAACACAGAGGCUGUGAAAAACCCCAGAGGAAAAAAGGGGAAAGAUGAGCAUCUAAACCAGGUGGGCAGUUCUACUUCUGGAGCUCAUUCUUACUGCCUAUCAUUCGAUCGGCUACCUUUCUUCUGGGGCUUUGCUGGAUUCUGUUUAGUUAACAAAGAAGAACAAUGGAAGGGCCCCCUGACUGGUUGUCAAUAUGAAAUGACUCAAUUGUUCUUUGUAUUUCGUCUUCCCUCCUCAAGCCAAACCUUGAGAACAAGUCUGGAACAUUUUGCAUGUACUGGCAGAUAGGCUGGUAAAUUGACAACACUUGUUGUUAGUAAUUAGGGCAUGGUAAUGUGCUCCUUUGGUAAUUAGUGCAUUAAUGUAGCAUAGAUUGUAUCGCUUACAGUGAUUGAAAGGUAUGGCAAGCUCAGAACAUUAUUAACAUUGGAAGCUGGAAGCUGCUGGGAGAUGGUGUAGUGUGGACACUUACCAGGGCUGGAGGGGAGUCGGAGGCCCUGGGUUCUUGGCCUGGCUGUGCCCUUUACGUGCUGUGUGAGCUUGGACAAGUCGCUUUGCCUCUCUGGACUUCAGUUUCUUCAUGGGUAAAAUAAAGAGAUCAUACUCUGCUGUGUGAAGGGAAGAUGAGGAAGAAAAGAGAAGAUGCUAACAGUAGAGACCUUGGCUAAAAAAAAGAGAUGAAGCUGAAUCAUACUUGUUUCCACCGCUGGGAGCACAAGGACUCCCCAGUGGGUGAUGUGUUUCAUCAGGGUAAUCUAGGCUGUGCUGUAAGAACAGACUAACCCAGAAAUGUGAGUGGUUUAGCAUGACAAAGUCUUGUGUAUCACUCUCGCAAACUCCAAAGCUGGUUAGGCAACUCUGUAGGGCUGUCUUUUAGAUGAUGAGUCAGAAAUGUAAGCUCCUUUUGAUCGCAGGACUUCCGGUUUGCUCCCAGGACAGAAGGGACUGUUGGAGGGUCUUGCAGUGGCUCAUGAAUGCAUUAGCCAGAAGUGGCAGGCGAGACUUCCAGUCACGAUUUAUUGAAGAUGUAUUGGAAGGUACUAGUCGCACUGUCCCAUCCAACCUUGAAAGGAGCUGGGAAAUGUGGGGAAGUACAGCUCUACCAGGGAAAGAGAGAAACUGAGCACUUACUAGGAGCUU